rnacentral:rRNA from 1 species
UACGGGGGGGGCAAGCGUUGGUUCGGAAUUACUGGGCGUUAAAGGGCCUCGUUAGGGUCGGGCCAACUAAGUCAGACGUGAAAUCCCUCGGCUUAACCCGGAAAAGGGUCAGCCGAACUACUGCGGGGACUAGGAGUGCAGGAAGGGGCAACUGGGAAUUCUCGGUGUAGCGGUGAAAAUGCGUAGAUAUCGAGAGGAACACCUGCGGCGAAGGCGGGUUGCUGGGCUGACACUGACGCUGAGGCGCGAAAGCUAGGGGAGCGAACGGG